rnacentral:lncRNA from 1 species
UUUCAAUCAACUACCAAGCAAAGCAAAACGGAUUUUAAACAUGGAUAAACAACAAAUAUCAUCAAUCAGAAUAAAGACAAGGAGAAUCAACAGUACCAGCGAUCACUAACAUGGAAAGCAUAGAAAAAGCUACAGAAUCACACAACUAUGAUACAAUAAAGGUACAGGUAUCCAGCUGGGAGUCCUAUUUGGUCUCAGCUGCGAAAAUGGAAAAAAUUAAUAAGGAGAAUAGCUGGAAAAAUGAAGAAGGAACAGAUCAAUACUCACACAAAUCUGCGCGGAACCCAUGGAUCUAUCUUCAGCGAUGGAGGACAAGCAGGAAGAUGAAGGAGAGGCUGAGCAUCUUUUAGGAAACCUAUAAUCUAGGGUCUUAAUUGGGGGCUGCAUU